rnacentral:rRNA from 1 species
UACGGAGGGUGCAAGCGUUGUCCGGAAUUAUUGGGCGUAAAGCGCUCGUAGGCGGUUUGUAGCGUCUGCUGUGAAAACUCGGGGCUCAACUCCGAGCUUGCAGUGGGUACGGGCAGACUAGAGUGCGGUAGGGGAGACUAGAAUUCCUGGUGUAGCGGUGGAAUGCGCAGAUAUCAGGAGGAACACCGGUGGCGAAGGCGGGUCUCUGGGCGGUAACUGACGCUGAGGAGCGAAAGCAUGGGGAGCGAACAGG